rnacentral:rRNA from 1 species
CGCUGGCGGCGUGCUUAACACAUGCAAGUCGAACGGUGAACCAGAGCUUGCUCUGGGGAUCAGUGGCGAACGGGUGAGUAACACGUGGGCAACCUGCCCCAGACUCUGGGAUAACCUCGGGAAACCGAUGCUAAUACCGGAUACGACCACUUCGGACAUCCGACGGUGGUGGAAAGUUUUCGGUCUGGGAUGGGCCCGCGGCCUAUCAGCUAGUUGGUGGGGUAAUGGCCUACCAAGGCGACGACGGGUAGCCGGCCUGAGAGGGCGACCGGCCACACUGGAACUGAGACACGGUCCAGACUCCUACGGGAGGCAGCAGUGGGGAAUAUUGCACAAUGGGCGAAAGCCUGAUGCAGCGACGCCGCGUGAGGGACGACGGCCUUCGGGUUGUAAACCUCUUUCAGCAGGGACGAAGCGAAGGUGACUGUACCUGCAGAAGAAGCACCGGCUAACUACGUG